rnacentral:rRNA from 1 species
GACGAACGCUGGCGGCGUGCUUAACACAUGCAAGUCGAACGAAGUGGCGAACGGGUGAGUAACGCGUAAUCAACCUGCCCUUCAGAGGGGGACAACAGUUGGAAACGACUGCUAAUACCGCAUACUGAAGGAGGGGCUUGGGUCUGAUUAUCUAGUUGGAGGGGUAACGGCCCAACAAGGCGAUGAUCAGGAGCCGGUCUGAGAGGGUAACCGGCCACAUUGGGCCUGAGAUACGGCCCAGACUCCUACGGGAGGCAGCAGUGGGGGAUAUUGCACAAUGGGCGAAAGCCUGAUGCAGCGACGCCGCGUGGGGGAUGAAGGCUUUCGGGUUGUAAACCUCUUUCGCUAUCGAACGGGUAGGUGGAGAAGAAGCGCCGGCUAACUACGUGCCAGCAGCCGCGGUAAUAC